rnacentral:tRNA from 1 species
GAGAGUAUAGCUCAAAUGGUAGAGCACAUGCUUAGCAUCCACGAGGUCCUGGGUUCAAUCCCCAGUACCUCCA